rnacentral:rRNA from 1 species
CGCCUGGUGGAUGGCUCGGCUUGGGCGCCGAAGAAGGGCGCGGCAAGCUGCGAUAAGCCCCGGGGAGGCGCAUGCAGCCGUCGAUCCGGGGAUCCCCGAAUGGGACCUCCUACUGUAGGGGUGUUAAGCCCCUACAGUGCUCCCACCUCCCUCGGGAGGGGGAGCGGGAACCCCCCGAACGGAAACAUCCAAGUAGGGGGAGGAAAAGAAACCAAUAGGGAUCCCCUGAGUAGGGGCGACCGAAAAGGGGAGAGCCCAAACCGAACCCUUCGGGGAAACCCGCGGGGGAUGUGGUGUUGUGGGGCCCAGCUAACGCUCCUCCUCAGUGAAGCCGAAGUGGCCUGGAAUGGCCCGCCGUAGAGGGUGAAAGCCCCGUAGGCGUAAGCUGAGAGGAGUCAUGGAGCUGGUGUCCCCGAGUACCGUACCCCGGUUUGGGUGCGGGAAUCAGGGAGUCAUCAACUUCCAAGGCUAAAUACGUCCCAAGACCGAUAGCGAACAAGUACGGUGACGGAAAGCUGAAAAGAACCCCGGAAGGGG